CGGACGGGUGAGUAACGCGUGAGUAACCUGCCUUACACAAGGGGAUAGCCGUUGGAAACGACGAAUAAUACCCUAUGAAACUAUCACUUCGCAUGAAGCGAUAGUCAAAGUGUUAGCGGUGUAAGAUGGACUUGCGUCUGAUUAGCUAGUUGGUGAGAAAAAGCCCACCAAGGCAACGAUCAGUAGCCGGCUUGAGAGAGUGUACGGCCACAUUGGAACUGAGACACGGUCCAA
rnacentral:rRNA from 1 species